rnacentral:rRNA from 1 species
CACAGAGGGGGCAAGCGUUGUUCGGAAUUACUGGGCGUAAAGGGCGCGUAGGCGGCCAACUAAGUCGGACGUGAAAUCCCCGGGCUCAACCCGGGAACUGCGUCCGAUACUGGAUGGCUUGAAUCCGGGAGAGGGAUGUGGAAUUCCAGGUGUAGCGGUGAAAUGCGUAGAUAUCUGGAGGAACACCGGUGGCGAAGGCGGCAUCCUGGACCGGUAUUGACGCUGAGGCGCGAAAGCCAGGGGAGCAAACGGG